GGGGACAAGCCCUGCGCUCUGUGUGUGUGUGUGUGUCUCGGCGGCCCCCUGUUGGAGGGGAUGAGACCUGCCGUGUGUGUUUGUGUGUAUGUGUCCCUACUGCCCCCUGUUGGAGGGGAUCAGACCUGCUGCGUGUGUGUGUAUGUCCCUACUGCCCCCUGCUGGAGGGGACAAGCCCUGCGCAAUGUGUGUGUGUGUGUGUUUGUGUGUGUCCCUACUGCCCGCUGUUGGAGGGGAUCAGAUUCUGCAGGCUGCGAUCAGAGCGUGGGGGCCUGGUCUAGGCUAAGUGCUACGGCUAUGCAGCAUGGGACGGGGGAAGAGGGGGUCACUCUUCAUAUCCAGGGACGGGGUCUGCGCCUUGGGGAGACCUGCACAGAGAGCAAACGGGAAGGGAUUAUGUAUGGACAAUGAGCAACACUGCCCCACCCAAGGGAGAAUCCAGGAGUCCUGGCUCCCAGCCCCCCUGCUCUAACCCCCUCGACCUCACUCUCCCCCCAGAGCAGGGGAUAGAACCCAGGUGUCCUGGCUCCCAAUCUUGGUCUCUAUGUAAUGUGGAUGACUGCCACAGUGGGAAUUCGGACCCACAGAACUCAUAGGAGAUGGCACCCCCUAGAGGGGAAAUCCCCAUGCCCCAUUCCCCACCUCCUUAAGCCAGCCAGUCCCAUCCCCCUCCCCCAGGGCCCGAUGAGAGCCAGCGCCCAGUCUUUAAUCUGGAGUGAAAGAGGUGCCGGGGCUCAAGCCAUUUUUUAACACUCAUAACUAAUGCAGCCAGCCUGGAGGUGCCGGGGCUCUCAACGGCCCAGCCCGGAGGUGCCGGGGCUCAGCCCUGGCACAAAUUGAGCACUACUAGGGCUCCCUUGGGGGAAAGGGCCCCAUGUCCCAUCCAUUCCCCCUGCCCCACUCACCAGCCUCUGGGCCCGCCUAUCUCAUCCGGGUGGACAAACCUGUAGAGAAGAGUCAAGGAGUCAGGUGCCUGGGGGGGAUCUGGGGUCAGAUCCUAGACAGACCAGCCCUGCUGGGGGGAAGAUCCCAGCAUCCUGGCCACCCCCUCCCC
rnacentral:lncRNA from 1 species